rnacentral:rRNA from 1 species
CCUACGGGCGGCAGCAGUGGGGAAUAGUGCACAAUGGGGGAAACCCUGAUGCAGCGACGCCGCGUGAGCGAUGAAGUAUUUCGGUAUGUAAAGCUCUAUCAGCAGGGAAGAAAAGGACGGGACCUGCAGAGGAAGCCACGGCUAACUACGUGCCAGCAGCCGCGGUAAUACGUAGGUGGCAAGCGGUGUUCGGAAUAACUGGGCGUAAAGGAUGCGUAGGCGGUUAAACAAGUUAUAUGUUAAAUAUAUAGGCUUAACCUGUAGAAAGCAUAUAAAACUGUUUAACUAGAGUGCAGGAGAGGUAAGUGGAAUUCCUAGUGUAGCGGUGAAAUGCGUAGAGAUUAGGAAGAACACCAGUGGCGAAGGCGACUUACUGGACUGUAACUGACGCUGAGGCAUGAGAGCAUGGGGAGCAAACAGGAUUAGAUACCCGUGUAGUC